UGGAGGAGAUUUCCGGUGCAU
rnacentral:siRNA from 1 species